UGCAGAUGAUGUGAAAGAAUAUUUGCUAUCUGAAUAGUCGAUGCGGACAGUUUCCACCAAGAUCACUGAUGCA
ensembl:snoRNA SNORD24 Small nucleolar RNA SNORD24